GUAGGGAAUAUUGGUCAAUGGACGCAAGUCUGAACCAGCCAUGCCGCGUGCAGGAAGAAUGUCCUAUGGAUUGUAAACUGCUUUUUUACGGGAAGAAACCCCUGGAUGCGUCCGGGGCUGACGGUACUGUAAGAAUAAGGAUCGGCUAACUUCGUGCCAGCAGCCGCGGUAAGACGAAGGAUCCAAGCGUUGUCCGGAUUUACUGGGUUUAAAGGGUGCGUAGGCGGAAAAUUAAGUCAGUGGUGAAAUCCCGCAGCUCAACUGCGGAACUGCCAUUGAAACUGAUUUUCUUGAAUACAGUUGAGGUAGAUGGAAUAUAACAUGUAGCGGUGAAAUGCUUAGAUAUGUUAUAGAACACCGAUUGCGAAGGCAGUCUGCUAAGCUGUCAUUGACGCUGAGGCACGAAAGCGUGGGGAGCAAACAGGAUUAGAAACCCCAGUAGUCC
rnacentral:rRNA from 1 species